rnacentral:sRNA from 1 species
AUAAGUCGUACUGGACACAUGGCUACGUGCUCAUCUCCAAAGAGGUGGAGGACUGUGUUCCCGUGUUUCUGAAGCACAUUGCCUACGACAUAUACGUCUGCGGAAAGACCAUUAACCUGCUGAAGCUCUGCUGCCCCCGGCAUUACCUCUGUUGGUCCGACGUCCCUGUCCCCCGGAUCUCGGUGAUUUUCUCCCUUGAGGAGUUGAAGGAGAUUGAGAAGGACUGUGCCGUCUACGUUGGGCGCAUGGAGAGGGUGGCCCGCCACAGCUCUGUCAGCAAGGAGGAGAAGGAAUUACGUAUGGAAAUUGCAAAACAAGAAUUAAUCGCUCAUGCCCGGGAAGCAGCAUCCAGGGUCCUGAGUGCACUGAGUGACCGGCAGAUGUCAGAACGGAUGGCCUUGGAUGCCCGGAAGCGUGAGCAGUUUCAGAGGCUGAAAGAACAAUUUGUGAAGGACCAGGAGGUGGGUAGGACCUGUCCCUGCGGGGUCACGCCUGUCAGUUCUGAUUUCACAGGCCAGGCUCUAUGUGUUUUAUAGCGACGCCAGGCGGCCAGGCAGGAGGAGCUGGAUGAUGACUUCAGCUACGCCCGUGAACUCCGAGACAGGGAGAGGAGGCUGAAGUCCCUGGAGGAGGAGCUGGAGAGGAAGGCGAGGCAGGCACUGGUCGACCACUACAGCAAGCUCUCUGCAGAGGCAGCUCGUCGGGAGCAGAAGGCACUGUGGAGAAUCCAGAGGCACCGACUGGAGAGUGCACGGCUUCGUUUUCUCUUAGAAGAUGAGAAACACAUUCAGGAGAUGCUGAAAGCAGUGUCUGAGGCUCACCAGCCCCAGGAGCCGCCAGACGUCCUCUUGAGCGUGCACCCCCAGGUCACGUCUCCAGGCCCUGAGCACCCAGAGGGAGGCCAAGGCUGUGAUUCUGGGUCUGCAGAGCAACACUCGCCUGCCUGGGAUGGCCGGAACAGGCCAGGCCUGCUGACCCCACAGCCCCUUAAGCCUCUAGCAGUGGGGGCUGGUGGCACGGGGCUGCAGCAGGCGGAGGAGGCCAGACCCUUCUCUGACAGCCUCAGCAUUGGAGACUUCCUACCUGUGGGCCCAGGGGCUGAGCCGUCUGUGCAGACUGGCAUGGUCCCUCUCCUGGAGGUGGCGCUGCAGACCAUUAACUUGGACCUGCCCCCCUCAGCUCCUGGGGAGGCACCCGCAGCAGCCAGCACUCAGCUCUCCAGGCCACAGGAGUAUGACUUUAGUACUGUCCUGAGGCCAGCUGUGGCCACCUCACCUGCACCAGGGCCCCUGCAGGCUGCCAAGUGCAGCUUGGGCAGCUCAGGGCUACAGCUGUGGGAGGACAGUUGUGGGAAGAUGGAUGCCUGUGGCUCCACCUCGCGGGAGACUCUGCUCCCCUCACACCCAUCCAGGCGUGCUGCUCUGGAGGAGGGGAGCAGCCAGCCCACAGAGCGGCUCUUUGGGCAGGUGUCAGGGGGUGGUCUUCCCACAGGGGACUUCGCUUCUGAAAUAGCUCCCGCCCGGCCACGGUGGAACACCCAUGGGCACGUGUCUGACGCCAGCAUCAGGGUCGGGGAGAAUGUGUCAGAUGUGGCUCCCACCCGGCCACGGUGGAACACCCACGGACACGUGUCCAAUGCCAGCAUCAGCAUAGGGGAGUCUGUGUCAGAUGUGGCUCCCACUCGGCCACGGUGGAACAUCCAUGGACAUGUGUCCAACGCCAGCAUCAGGGUCGGGGAGAAUGUGUCAGAUGUGGCUCCCACCAGGCCACGGUGGAAUACCCACGGGCACGUGUCCAAUGCCAGCAUCAGGGUUGGGGAGAACGUGUCGGACGUGGCUCCCACCCGGCCACGGUGGAACACCCAUGGACACGUGUCCGAUGCCAGCAUCAGCUUGGGGGAGUCUGUGUCAGACGUGGCUCCCGCCCGGCCACGGUGGAACACCCAUGGACACGUGUCUGAUGCCAGCAUCAGCUUGGGGGAGUCUGUGUCAGACAUGGCUCCCACCCGGCCACGGUGGAACACCCACGGACACGUGUCUGAUGCCAGCAUCAGGUUUGGGGAGAACGUAUCGGACGUGGCUCCCAUCUGGUCACGGUGCAACACCCAUGGACACGUGUCCGACGCCAGCAUCAGCUUGGGGGAGCCUGUGUCGGACGUGGUUUCCACCCGGCCACGGUGGAACACCCAUGUACCCAUCCCUCCGCCCCACAUGGUGCUGGGGGCUCCCUCACCAGAAGCUGAGCCCAACACACCCAGGCCCCAACAGAGCCCCCCUGGCCACACGUCCCAGUCAGCGCUCAGCCUGGGAGCACAGAGCACUGUGCUGGACUGUGGGCCACGGCUGCCUGUAGAAGUGGGGCCAUCUCUGUCCUCCCCCAGCUCGGGCUGCGGGGAGGGGAGCAUCAGCGUGGGGGAGAACGUGUCGGACGUGGCUCCCACCCAGCCAUGGUGGCCCAACACCCCGGGAGACAGUGUCUCUGAAGAACUAGGUCAGAGUAGGGUGGCUGGUGGUCAGGAGUGGGACUGUGGGACGCACAGAGCCUGGGAGGUAGGCGGGCAGUGGGGUUGGUGGCAUGUGAAGUUCCCUUCAGGCCUCCUUGUCAGCCAGGACCUGGGCUGCUGUGGGGGACAUGGGAGGGGCUGCUUGAGCCAGGGCCAGCUCGGCUCUGCUCUGCACUCUCCACAGGCACUCGGCCCUGAUGCCCUCGUGUCCACUUGUGUCCACACAGGCCCUGGGAGGAGCGGGGACACUGAGGAUCUCUCUCCAAAUUGGCCUCUCAACUCACAGGAAGACACAGCCGCCCAGAGCAGCCCAGGCCGUGGUGAGGAGGCGGAGGCAUCGGCGGCGGAGGCUCAGGGUGUGGAGCAGGCCUACCUGGCAGGCCUGGCAGGGCAGUACCACUUGGAACGGUACCCGGACAGUUACGAGUCCAUGUCCGAGCCGCCCAUUGCUCAUCUUUUGCGCCCCGUGCUUCCCCGGGCCUUCGCCUUCCCCGUGGACCCCCAGGUCCAGUCUGCCGCUGAUGAGACUGCCGUGCAGCUGAGCGAGUUGCUGACGCUGCCUGUGCUCAUGAAGCGCUCCAUCACGGCACCGCUGGCCGCCCAGUGAGUGCCCCUGCCCCUGCGCCAGUCUGCCCACCCAGCCCGUCAUGGCCCGCCCUGACUCCAGCUCCCUCCUGCCAGCAUCUCCUUGGUGAACAAGGCUGCUGUCGACUACUUCUUCGUGGAGCUGCACCUGGAGGCGCACUAUGAGGCACUGCGGCACUUCCUGCUGAUGGAGGACGGCGAGUUCGCCCAGUCCCUCAGCGACCUGCUCUUUGAGAAGCUUGGAGCUGGGCAAACGCCCAGAGAGCUGCUCAACCCACUGGUGCUGAACUCUGUGCUGAGCAAGGCCCUGCAGUGCAGCCUGCAUGGGGACACCCCGCAUGCCUCCAACCUCUCCCUCGCUCUCAAGUACCUGCCCGAGGUGUUUGCCCCCAACGCCCCGGAUGUGCUGAGCUGCCUGGAGCUCAGGUACAAGGUGGACUGGCCUCUCAACAUUGUCAUCACCGAGGGCUGCCUGAGCAAGUACAGCGGCGUCUUCUCCUUCCUGCUGCAGCUGAAGCUCAUGAUGUGGGCACUCAAGGAUGUCUGCUUCCACCUCAAGCGCACAGCCCUGCUGAGCCACAUGGCCGGCUCUGUGCAGUUCCGUCAGCUGCAGCUGUUCAAGCAUGAGAUGCAGCAUUUCGUGAAGGUCAUCCAGGGCUACAUCGCCAACCAGAUCCUGCACGUCACCUGGUGCGAGUUCAGGGCCAGGCUGGCCACCGUGGGCGACCUGGAGGAGAUCCAGCGUGCGCACGCCGAGUACCUGCACAAGGCCGUCUUCAGGUGAGGCCUGGGCAGCGGCUGUGUCCCUGUGGUCACGGCUCAGCCCACCCAGCAGCACUGCUUCCCCCCAGGGGCCUGCUCACGGAGAAGGCGGCGCCCGUCAUGAACGUCAUCCAUAGCAUCUUCAGCCUCGUGCUCAAGUUCCGCAGCCAGCUCAUCUCCCAGGCCUGGGGGCCCGCUGGGGGCCCGCGGGGUGCAGAGCACCCCAACUUUGCACUCAUGCAGCAGUCCUACAACACCUUCAAGUACUACUCCCACUUUCUCUUCAAAGUGGUGACCAAGCUGGUGAACCGCGGCUACCAGCCCCACCUGGAGGACUUUCUGCUGCGCAUCAACUUCAACAACUACUACCAGGACGCCUGAGGCUGCUCUGCGGGGGACGUGCACAAUAAAGGUGUUCUCAGA